GCUGUAGCUCAGUGGGAGAGGAUCUGCCUUGCAUGCAGAAGGUCCCAGGUUCAAUCCUGCCCGUCAGUG